UGUUGCUUGCAAGGGCGUAUGGUGGAUGCCUUGGCAGACAGGGCCGAUGAAGGACGUUUGAGGCUGCGAUAUGCCUCGGGGAGCCGCCAACAGGGCUUUGAUCCGAGGAUUUCCGAAUGGGGGAACCCACCGACCGUCAUGGGUCGGUACCGGCUUCGGCCGGGGGGUACGCAGGGAAGUGAAACAUCUCAGUACCUGCAGGAAAGGAUAUUCCGUGAGUAGUGGCGAGCGAAAGCGGAUGAUGGCCAAACCUUGCGCGUGUGAUACCCGUCGGGGGUUGCGCGCGGGGUGUAGAGGGAUCGCGUUUGCCGGCUCCGACGGGCCGGCCGGCAGUUGCAGAAAACCAUGUGUCAGGGGAACCGGGUUGAAUACCGGGCCGCAGAGGGUGAGGGCCCCGUACCUGAACGCGCAUGGUCUGCCGAUCGCGUCUCCCAAGUAGCACGGGUCCCGUGGAACCCCGUGCGAAUCCGCCCAGACCGUUGGGUAAGCCUGAAUAUUCCUGUCUGACCGAUAGCGAACGAGUACCGUGAGGGAAAGGUGAAAAGUACCCCGGGAGGGGAGUGAAACAGUCUCUGAAACCGUGCGCCUACAAUCCGUCGGAGCCCUUUUGUGGGGUGACGGCGUGCCUAUCGAAAAAUGAGUCUGCGAGUCAGUGGCAUGUGGCGAGCAUAACCCGUGUGGGGUAUGCGUAGCGAAGGCGAGUCUUAAAAGGCGUUUGAGUCGCGUGUCCUGGACCCGAAGCGGGAUGAUCUAGCCCUGGGCAGGUUGAAGCGCGGGUAAGACCGCGUGGAGGACCGAACCCACCUGGGUUGAAAACCGGGGGGAUGACUUGGGGCUAGGGGUGAAAGGCCAAUCAAAUUCCGUGAUAGCUGGUUCUCUCCGAAAUGCAUUUGGGUGCAGCGUCGGGUCAUUACGUCCCGGGGGUAGAGCUACUGGAUGCUUGCGGGCCCGUAUCGGGUACCAACAGCAACCAAACUCCGAAUACCCGUGAUGCGUAUCCCGGCAGUGAGUCGGCGGGGGAUAAGCUCCGUCGUCGAGAGGGAGACAGCCCAGAUCGUCGUCUAAGGUCCCGAAGCGUGUGCUAAGUGGGAAAGGAUGUGGAGUCGCAUAGACAGCCAGGAGGUUGGCUCAGAAGCAGCCAUCCUUGAAAGAGUGCGUAACAGCUCACUGGUCUAGUGGUUCCGCGCCGACAAUGUAGCGGGGCUCAAGCACACCACCGAAGACGCGGCAGUAUUUUGUACUGGGUAGGAGAGCGUCCCAUGAGGGGCGAAGCGGCCGUGUGAACGCGCCGUGGACUUCAUGGGAGUGAGAAUGCAGACAUGAGUAGCGAGAGACGGGUGAAGAUCCCGUCCGCUGGAUGACCAAGGGUUCCAGGGCCACGUUCAUCGUCCCUGGGUGAGUCGGGUCCUAAGGCGAGGCCGACAGGCGUAGUCGAAUGGAUGAACGGGUCGAUAUUCCCGUACCGGCUUUCAGCCGCCAAAACCGAGGCUUGGAGUACUAACCUCCGGGUCCGGGCUUACUGCUCCUUCGGGGGCGGGAUGCCCUGGCCUGUUGGGACCGAUCCUUGUAGUAGGUCAGCGCAGGAGUGACGCAGAAGGGUAGCCGGCCGCGGAGGUGGUUUUCCGUGGUCAAGCACGCAGGGCGUGGGACAGGCAAAUCCGUCCCGCAUGGGUCCGAGGUGCGAUGAUGGGGGCCUUAUGGCCCGAUAUCCGGUGAUCCCGGCUGCCGAGAAAAGCUUCGGCGUCAGGCUCAAAGCCGCCCGUACCCCAAACCGACACUGGUGGUCAGGUAGAGAAUACCAAGGCGAUCGAGCGAAUCCUGGUCAAGGAACUCGGCAAAUCACUCCCGUUCCUUCGGUUUAAGGGAGACCCCCGAUGGUGAACACACUUGCUGUGGGAGCUUUUGGGGGUGGCACAGACCAGGGGGUAGCGACUGUUUACCAAAAACACAGGUGCAUGCGAAGGCGUAAGCCGCUGUAUAUGCACUGACGCCUGCCCGGUGCCGGAAGGUUAAGAGGAUCCGUCAGCCUUCGGGUGAAGCGGUGAAUUCAAGCCCCGGUAAACGGCGGUGGUAACUAUAACCAUCCUAAGGUAGCGAAAUUCCUUGUCGGGUAAGUUCCGACCUGCACGAAUGGCGUA
rnacentral:rRNA from 1 species